UUCAGAAAUCGAUGAGCUGCUAAGUUAGUAUUACCACAUUCAAAGAAGAUACAUUGCAGGAGCAUGAAGAUUUAAUUAUGUCAAUCAAUGAUAUAAUCGUUUAGUGUACAUUACUAAAAUGAUCCCAAAAUAUAGACAUCCACAUACAAGUAAAUGUACACUGCAAAACAUCUCAUUAAGUUCUACAACAAUAUUUCUCUUCAUUUACUCUCAUAAGUGCUUGUUUGCCCAAAAUGAUUGACAGAAAGGAACCAUGGCCAAACCCAUUUUGCUAUUCAGCACCAGCACCAGUAUGCCACUCACCAUGAAGAACCGAAGCCAAGAAACAGAAAUAGGGGAAAGUAAAAUAUCACCCAGAAACUAGAGAAAAAUUAAUUCAAUUUCCACAUCCAACUAUCUGAAACUUAAGGCAUUGAAUAUAGUGAAAUCCUCAAUCUGAGAAGGGUUUGAUCUUGAACCUGUAGAUAAGUUUCUUCUUUUUUGAGGUUGAAUUGUCCACUGUGAGCAAGAUUUUACCCAGUUCACCAACUAUGAAGCUGCUAGUCACCACUGGUUCAUCGAUUGGGGCCAAUUUUGUCGGUUUCUGUACGAUGACUGUAUAUGCAUCUUUAGCAUCAGGCACAAACUCAGCACCGUAGCUCACCUCCCACCCCACAACUCGGAUUUCCCAGACAAUUAUACAUUUCUCAUAAAUUAUAAUUUCCACAGUUUGCUUGGUUGCUGGUUUCACAGUUAUCUCAGUUGCAGGAUCGGCAACAGUAAAUUCAGGGUUGCAAUCACAGUAAUCCACACUCAAGCCACCAUACUGAAUAGGCACUUGCUCAGGUGAUAUAUAUUUGAAAAGGGUCUCAGCAGAUUUUGAUGGGCCUGCAAAUACAAAUUUGCUUUUGGUCCUCUGGGUCAUGAAUGGACUGAUCAUUGUAUAGAAAGCAAGAUACCACCAAGGGACGUUGAUGAACACCUGUUUAGCUACAAACUCAGGAUAAUUGUCCUGAAGCAAUUGGAGAGCCUGGCUGGUGGCCAACCUAAGCUCCCGUUUUCCAGGUCCUGGAGAAUUCUUGAGAUCAUUAACCUGAAAGAUGGUAGAAAUACCACCAGGACUAAAAUCAAGCUUCCUUAUACUCCUCUCUAAGAACUGAAUCCGAAACCGCAGAAACUUCAUUCUCUUCUCCUCGUCAGCAAAUGUCUUUUGAUACAAUUCUUUAUUCUGAAACUCCCCAUACACAUUAUAGCACACAGGAUGCCCCUCCCUGUCAUGACCAUGCAUAAAAACCACUUUAUCCAAAUCAUCACCGAGAUCUUCAUCAAGAAGUUCAUCGAUUUUAAAUUCCUUCCUCCAUCGGAUUGUGCUCUUGAUCAUGAUAAAUGCAUCUUUUACUUUGAACUCCCUGGCCCUCAAGAACUUCAAGAGUAUCACAUCACUUCUAUCAUCCUUGAGAAGAGGAAUCCCCCAUAUGGAGACUUCCUCUGGAGGAGAUGCAAGCUUUGGCUCUUCUUUUUUAGCUUCUUCUUGGGAUUCUUUGGAUUGGGUUCCUUCUUCAACUUUUGAUUCUUGGGGUGGUGGUUUCUCUGUACUGACAUCGGAUUCUGACAAGGGUGCUUCAGCUUUUGCAGGAGCAUCUGAGGUCGGUCCAGAGGACACAGCUGGAAUUUCUUGACUAUUUUGUCCUGGUGGAGUAACACUCUGUUUCUCUUCUUCUUUUGUUGUUGGUGGUGGUGGUGGAGAGCUAAAUUGGUGGCUAUUGAGAGCUUCCUGAACCAACUGCUUCAGUUCUUCCAAAGCUUUCCUCUCAAAAUCAGAGAGAUCAGCCACUAUGUUACUCUCCUCCUUGAACGAAACCAAAGUCUGAGGAAUCUUUUGCUCUUCAAUUUGCUUCUCUUUCCCAGCCUCAACCACAACAACCUCUUCUUUACUAACUACAGACUCGGCCAUUUCCUCACCUUUCUCCUCCGCAGCCGAAGACGGCAGAGGAGAAAAGAAAGACUCAUCUUUCUCCAUCAUAGCCGCCAGUGAUUUAGACUCUUGCGGCGGUGUAGUUGGCCGUGGUGGCUCUUCUUUCUCUAUUAUGACCGGCGAUUCAGACUCUUCCACAACUGAAGGUGGAGCAGGCAGAGAGGCUUCUAUUUCCUUCUUUUCAACCACAGGUGGAGGUGACGGAGCCUGGACUUCUGGCGGUGGGGCAGUAGAAACAGAAGAAUCUUCGGCCAUGUUUGGAAGCGGAGACAGAGAUAAGCAAGUGUUUGGUGUGCGAAGAAAAAGAGGGGAGGUAGUGAGAGUGCGAGGGAAGAGAGAGAAGAGAAAAAGAGUAAAGUGAAGUGUAAAUGCUGAGGAAAUGAGUCACGCGGGUCUGAGUUGUGAGUUAUGAGUUCUGACUGCAUUUUUUUUUUUUAACGUAA
rnacentral:misc_RNA from 1 species